GGUCACAAGAUUAUUGGUGUUCUGUUUGUUAAUCUCCAGGCCACAUACUCUCCCUGUCUCCACCACCACCUGACCACCACUCUCUCUGCGUCUUCCAUGCUGCUCGCUGACAGCAUUCCAUCGUCUGCAAAGAAUAAAGGUGCACCAUGGCUUGCCACAAUGUCACAAUGGGUUCUUGGAGAGCCGCUGCUGUUGACUUGCUGCAUGUCUCCUCUCUGCGGCAAAACUCCACAAAUACUCCACUCACCAAGUUCCAGAGGGAGAGGAUCACCAGCCACCACCGGCCGUACUAAAGGAAGUGGCUCUAUGUAGGGAUGGAACAUAGCAACUACACCAGCUGGGACACACCUAGCCAACU